CAGAAUCUGUAAUUAGAGUGCUAUGCCGUGCAGUACUUCAGCAUGAUAGAAGGCUUUACACUAAAAACUGAAGAAAGUGGGACACUUGAACUGACAUUCCUUACAUGUAUAUAUGUGGAGACUUCCAUUUUCAGUGGUGCGAGUUUGUUGAUUUAACUAUGGAAUCUGCCUAGGACUACUGGAAAGAACAUGCUUUAAAAAAAAAAGGAAGCAAUUGACCCAAGCAAUUGACUGCAUCUGUUGUAAUGUGGAAAUAUUACUGGCCAACACUAAUCUUGUUAACUGUAAGUUCCAGGAAUAUAAGAACCAGAACAAUACGUCAUGUCUGCAGUUGAACAUGCGGAUCUUGGUUUGGCCUCUUCAGUCAUCUCUGGACUUACUGAUGACUUCCCUAUCUAUUGGAUGACUGUCAUCCUUAUAUCAAGGUGCUGCCACUGCUGCUUUGGCUGAGUAAGCAAGCAGGAUCAGCACAAGUACCCACAGAGCCAAAUUCAUAUUUGGUGAUCAUGAAUAUGUACUCAUGCAAGACUGGUUUUGAAUGAAGGUUUUGUUGAAGAAAAAUAGUAGCUAUUAGUCUGAUAACUUUGGGCCUGGGCUUCAGUGCCUCCAGUUGGAUUAAAUCCCUUACCACAAAGACCCAGAAGUGCCAGCAGAAAGAAAGACAAGACAGAGAGACAAAGUAUUUUAUUUCUGUAUUGUUUUUGCAUGUGAUGAUAAACAAACAGAAAAGCCCUUCACCCAACAGUAUAAAAGUAAACCCACAGGAAGAACCUUCAAAAGGAAAACAGCACUAAUGGUAAUUUUAACAUAACUAAACAAUCAAAGGAGUCUCUGG